AUUAAGGAAAACACAACGACAUUACCGAAAACACAACACAUUAAAGAAAACACAACACAUUAAGAAAACGGAAAAGGUAGGUCCCAGUGGGAGACAUAUGAAUUCGCUGAUUGGACUACAGCUCGUUUUACUUUUGAACCGGAAGUUAUUCUGGCGUGCUCAGUUUGAGUGAGAAGCAAAGCGGGAAUACGGUCGUCAUUUAUUGCCCAAACUGGGAAAAAGCUGAUUGAGCCGUCACCAAACUUUUGCAGCAGUUGUGGMAAGAGGCUUCAAGAAAUGUAUAUGGAAGAUACUCCACAAUGUUCAAGUAAGUUAAGCAUAAAGAAGUAUUUAUCUGUCAUAUGGAUGUAGUAACUUGCUUAUGCUGGCGGGACUCCAGACCGCGUCCACUGUCACUUAGUUGUUCAUUGUAAAUGCAAUUAAAAGUAAAAAAAAAAUCUAGAUGUAGUUCAGCAGCAUUGUAUUAUAUUAUUAGUAAGGUCCGUUACAGCCUUAUGCACUUUUUCUAGGGUAAUUUGUGUCCUUCUGGUUCUUUUGCACUGCGAUCAAGCUUGCCGCCUUUUCGAAGCGAACCCGCAUUCAGUUUAGACAUGUGCUAACUUUACUUCAGUUUGUUAUACAUAUUAUUGUCUGUUUGCAUGGCUGUGAUGUGCGACAUUUUUUCUUUAAUUUACUAAUAGCACAACAGACUGUCCCAUCCUGCUCUGCACCAGUCCUCAGCACCUUCCUUGAAUACAGAAAGAAAAACAUGAGGAGCGACAAAAAAUACUUUUGGAAGAAAGUAUUCUCUUGGAAGAAAGGGGUUAAAGCAAAAGGRAAAAGUGAAAGUUCGGAUUCAAAGAUGGACUGGGAAGUCUAGGAUUUUUUGCUGCACUGCAGAAGCAUUCCAGGGUCCUUUCCCCAAUMCUGUGUUUCUCUGCSAAGGCCCUGACUGCUUCAGACUUGGAGACAAUGUUUAAACCAGUUCUGAGCCCAGUAGGAAGCAAUAGGCGGCAAAAGGAGGGCAAAACAAUCGUUUYCUGGGCAGAUUAUUUGCUUGACUGCGAAGGUUAGUAAGGACGGAUUGUGUUUUAUUCUAAAAUUGGGCUUUUUGUUUGUUUAAUUGGGAGGACAUCAGAA